GACGAACCGUGCGAACGUUGUUCGGAAUCACUGGGCAUAAAGGGCGCGUAGGCGGCUUUUCAAGUCAGGGGUGAAAUCCGGCAGCUUAACUGUCGAAGUGCCUUUGAUACUGGGAAGCUCGAGGGAGGUAGGGGUGUGUGGAACUUCCGGUGGAGCGGUGAAAUGCGUUGAUAUCGGAAGGAACGCCGGUGGCGAAAGCGACGCACUGGACCUCUUCUGACGCUGAGGCGCGAAAGCUAGGGGAGCAAACGGG
rnacentral:rRNA from 1 species